GCUAAGCCCUUAACAUUGAUAGCACCCUAUACCCCGCUUUCCGCCAGAGAACUACAAGUGAAAAACUUCAAACUCAAAGGACUUGGCGGUGUCCCAUACCAACCUAGAGGAGCCUGUCCUAUAAUCGAUACCCCCCGUUCUACCUAACCUCUACUUGCACCUCUCAGCCUAUAUACCGCCGUCGACAGUCUACCCCAUGAGAGUCCAACAGUAGACACAAUAGCUUGCCCGCUAAUACGUCAGGUCAAGGUGUAGCACAUGUUGAGGAAGAGAUUGGCUACAUUUUUUAUCUUAAAAAAUACGAAAUGCAACAUGAAACCCUGCAUGAAGGUGAAUUUAGUAGUAAGAUAAACAAGAGUGUUUAUCUUAACAACGCUGUG
rnacentral:rRNA from 1 species